ensembl:lncRNA
AACAGGGCUGUCUUCGUUUGUAUUUCUAGGCCAGGAAUUGUUGGAGCCCUGGCACGCGGAACCAAAUUGUCGGUGUGCGGGGGGGGGGGGGUGGUGAUUCGCGUUCGUCCCAGCAGCGAACCGGGACGCCCCGGUCUGAGGCGCACACAGGGUGCCCGGAAGCCUGGGUCUGCAGCUCACCUGCGCGCACUUCGCAGUACACACAUGCAGCUCACGCACACGGGAAGGCAGGCAAAGCUCAGACCCCGACUCGAACCAACUGCCGCGGUCAUCCUUCCCCUGGUCAGCGCACCGCUGCGGGGGGGGCGAAGGCGAGGGUGCCCGGUCUCAAAGCAACUUUGGCAGGGACGGUCCUGCUCCCCAAGCCUCCCCGGCGCCCCACGUCCUGAAGCCAAGCAAGCGGGCGCCGAGAUGAGCGUGGCGGAAAGAGAGAAGCGGAGCUUUCCUGCAAUUCCGGGGCGUCGGUGCGGGCCCUUCUCUGAGGAGGGUGUUAAAAAUAUAAGUAGUAUGUUUAAACUGUCAGGGAGCCCAAGUGUCACCUUAGAGCAAAAACAAAGCCGGGGGAAAAGGCAGAAAUCAAAAAGCACUGCGGGCCAGGGUGGCCUCAUGCAUACCAAUGGUUUUUGUCAUUUAUGGCUGGGCAAGAUUUAUGACUCGGAGCCCCAAAGCUGUAAACAGAGCACAAAACAGCAAACACUUGCUCCUGGCGGCAUAUUGCGGCGGCGCAACUUGAAAGGGGGAGCCGGGCCGCGUGGGAGGGAACUGGAAGAAAAUGUUUUCUCAGCACUACAAGAACACUCGGAGCAGCGGAGGUGGCCGAAGUGCCUUGCCACCGUUCCAGGGGGUGUCCUGAACCCGGCGGAGAGGGCCUGGGCACCCCAGGCUGCCCGUGCAUGCGGCGGGGGAGAGGAAGGUGAGGGGCACCGCCGGCAAGAAGAGGCACCGAAACCCCAGAUGAGGAGGAAAACUGUUGAGGAGACAGCCUCGCCUGUCUGUGGGAGUGAGGCUGGCAUUUUGAGGGUAGAAGGGGACCAGGCUUUUUAA